AAUUUUUUAGCUCACCUGGCCCGAAGGGCCAAGUGAGCUUUUCUCAUCACUUGGCGUCCGUCGUCCGUCGUCCGUCGUCGUCCGUCGUCGUCCGUCAUCUGCGUAAACUUUUUACAUUUUGAACUUCUUCUAGAGAACCACUGAAUGGAAUGAAACCAAACAUGGCAUGAAUGUUCCUUAUGAGGUGCUGACCAAGUGUUGUUACUUUGUAGCCGAUCCAUCAUCCAAGAUGGCCACCAGCGGGGGACUUAGUUUAACAAAGGACCCUAUGGGAAAUGCAUACAAAUGACUUCUUUUAGAGAACCACUGAAUGGAAUGAAACCAAACAUGGCAUGAAUGUUUCUUAUGAGGUGCUGACCGAGUGUUGUUACUUUGAAGCCGAUCCAUAAUCCAAGAUGGCAGCCAGCGGGGGACUUAGUUUAACAAAGGACCCUAUGGGAAAUGCAUACAAAUGUCUUCUUUUAGAGAACCACUGAAUGGAAUGAAACAAAACAUAGCAUGAAUGUUCAUUAGGAGGUGCUGACCAAGUGUUGUUACUUUGUAGCCGAUCCAUCAUCCAAGAUGGCCGCCAGCGGGGGACUUAGUUUAACAUAGGACCCUAUGGGAAAUGCAUACAAAUGACUUCUUUUAGAGAACCACUGAAUGGAAUGAAACAAAACAUAGCAUGAAUGUUCCUUACAAGGUGCUGACCAAGUGUUGUUACUUUGUAGCCGUUCCAUCAUCCAAAAUGGCCGCCAGUGAGGGACUUAGUUUAACAUAGGACCCUAUGAGAAAUACAUACAAAUGUCUUCUUUUAGAGAACCACUGAAUGGAAUGAAACCUAACAUGGCAAGAAUGUUCCUUAUGAGGUGCUGACCAAGUGUUGUUACUUUGAAGCCGAUCCAUCAUCCAAGAUGGCAACCAGUGGGGGACUUAGUUUAACAUAGGAUCCUAUGGGAAAUACAUACAAAUGUUUUCUUUUAGAGAACCACUGAAUGCAAUGAAACCAAACAUGGCAUGAAUGUUCCUUAUGAGGUGCUGACCGAGUGUUGUUACUUUGAAGCCGAUCCAUAAUCCAAGAUGGCCGCCAGCGGGGGACUUAGUUUAACAUGGGACCCUAUGGGAAAUACAUACAAACGUCUUCUUUUAGAGAACCACUGAAUGGAAUGAAACAAAACAUAGCAUGAAUGUUCAUUAGGAGGUGCUGACCAAGUGUUGUUACUUUGUAGCCGAUCCAUCAUCCAAGAUGGCCGCCAGCGGGGGACUUAGUUUAACAUAGGACCCUAUGGGAAAUGCAUACAAAUGACUUCUUUUAGAGAACCACUGAAUGGAAUGAAACAAAACAUAGCAUGAAUGUUCCUUACAAGGUGCUGACCAAGUGUUGUUACUUUGUAGCCAUUCCAUCAUCCAAAAUGGCCGCCAGCGAGGGACAUAGUUUAACAUAGGACCCUAUGGGAAAGGCAUACAAAUGACUUCUUUUAGAGAACCACUGAAUGGAAUGAAACAAAACAUAGCAUGAAUGUUCAUUAGGAGGUGCUGACCAAGUGUUGUUACUUUGUAGCCGAUCCAUCAUCCAAGAUGGCCGCCAGCGGGGGACUUAGUUUAACAUAGGACCCUAUGGGAAAUGCAUACAAAUGACUUCUUUUAGAGAACCACUGAAUGGAAUGAAACAAAACAUAGCAUGAAUGUUCCUUACAAGGUGCUGACCAAGUGUUGUUACUUUGUAGCCGUUCCAUCAUCCAAAAUGGCCGCCAGUGAGGGACUUAGUUUAACAUAGGACCCUAUGAGAAAUACAUACAAAUGUCUUCUUUUAGAGAACCACUGAAUGGAAUGAAACCUAACAUGGCAAGAAUGUUCCUUAUGAGGUGCUGACCAAGUGUUGUUACUUUGAAGCCGAUCCAUCAUCCAAGAUGGCAACCAGCGGGGGACUUAGUUUAACAUAGGAUCCUAUGGGAAAUACAUACAAAUGUUUUCUUUUAGAGAACCACUGAAUGCAAUGAAACCAAACAUGGCAUGAAUGUUCCUUAUGAAGUGCUGACCGAGUGUUGUUACUUUGAAGCCGAUCCAUAAUCCAAGAUGGCCGCCAGCGGGGGACUUAGUUUAACAUGGGACCCUAUGGGAAAUACAUACAAACGUCUUCUUUUAGAGAACCACUGAAUGGAAUGAAACCAAACAUGGCAAGAAUGUUCCUUAUGAGGUGCUGACCAAGUGUUGUUACUUUGAAGCCGAUCCAUCAACCAAGAUGGCAGCCAGCGGGGGACUUAGUUUAACAUAGGAUCCUAUGGGAAAUACAUACAAAUGUUUUCUUUUAGAGAACCACUGAAUGGAAUGAAACCAAACAUGGCAUGAAUGUUCCUUAUGAGGUGCUGACCAAGUGUUGUUACUUUGUAGCCGAUCCAUCAUCCAAGAUGGCCGCCAGCGGGGGACUUAGUUUAACAAAGGACCCUAUGGGAAAUGCAUACAAAUGACUUCUUUUAGAGAACCACUGAAUGGAAUGAAACCAAACAUGGCAUGAAUGUUUCUUAUGAGGUGCUGACCGAGUGUUGUUACUUUGAAGCCGAUCCAUAAUCCAAGAUGGCAGCCAGCGGGGGACUUAGUUUAACAAAGGACCCUAUGGGAAAUGCAUACAAAUGUCUUCUUUUAGAGAACCACUGAAUGGAAUGAAACAAAACAUAGCAUGAAUGUUCAUUAGGAGGUGCUGACCAAGUGUUGUUACUUUGUAGCCGUUCCAUCAUCCAAAAUGGCCGCCAGUGAGGGACUUAGUUUAACAUAGGACCCUAUGAGAAAUACAUACAAAUGUCUUCUUUUAGAGAACCACUGAAUGGAAUGAAACCUAACAUGGCAAGAAUGUUCCUUAUGAGGUGCUGACCAAGUGUUGUUACUUUGAAGCCGAUCCAUCAUCCAAGAUGGCAACCAGCGGGGGACUUAGUUUAACAUAGGAUCCUAUGGGAAAUACAUACAAAUGUUUUCUUUUAGAGAACCACUGAAUGCAAUGAAACCAAACAUGGCAUGAAUGUUCCUUAUGAGGUGCUGACCGAGUGUUGUUACUUUGAAGCCGAUCCAUAAUCCAAGAUGGCCGCCAGCGGGGGACUUAGUUUAACAUGGGACCCUAUGGGAAAUACAUACAAACGUCUUCUUUUAGAGAACCACUGAAUGGAAUGAAACCAAACAUGGCAAGAAUGUUCCUUAUGAGGUGCUGACCAAGUGUUGUUACUUUGAAGCCGAUCCAUCAACCAAGAUGGCAGCCAGCGGGGGACUUAGUUUAACAUAGGAUCCUAUGGGAAAUACAUACAAAUGUUUUCUUUUAGAGAACCACUGAAUGGAAUGAAACCAAACAUGGCAUGAAUGUUCCUUAUGAGGUGCUGACCAAGUGUUGUUACUUUGUAGCCGAUCCAUCAUCCAAGAUGGCCGCCAGCGGGGGACUUAGUUUAACAAAGGACCCUAUGGGAAAUGCAUACAAAUGACUUCUUUUAGAGAACCACUGAAUGGAAUGAAACCAAACAUGGCAUGAAUGUUUCUUAUGAGGUGCUGACCGAGUGUUGUUACUUUGAAGCCGAUCCAUAAUCCAAGAUGGCAGCCAGCGGGGGACUUAGUUUAACAAAGGACCCUAUGGGAAAUGCAUACAAAUGUCUUCUUUUAGAGAACCACUGAAUGGAAUGAAACAAAACAUAGCAUGAAUGUUCAUUAGGAGGUGCUGACCAAGUGUUGUUACUUUGUAGCCGUUCCAUC